GGGGCAGUGUAUUAAAAGUGGAGGGAGGGGCGGCAGUAUAUUGGAUCUGUGGGCAGUGUAUUAGAUUGAGUCUGCAUGGAGGCGCUGAACGCUCCCCAUGGAGAUGCUGAUUGGCCGUGCAGUUUUUUUCCACACAUACACAAGAGCCAACCAAUGCUUUCCUUUGAUGAUUGCAUGCUCCUGAAACUGCUAUGUUUAUAAAAACAUAGACAUACUUCACAUUAAGUAACCAAGUGCUAUUGCUGCUUCACUUCGUUAAG